CAGAUCUUUAUUCUUUCUAAAUAAAGCCACCUUGUGAAGAAGGCACUUGCUUCCCCUUUACCUUUCACCAUGAUUGAACGUUUCCUGAGACAUUCCCAGCCAUAGAGAACUGAACUACUCACAUCUAUUGCAAUAUCCACCAAAUUAUAGUAAAGAAUGGCAAGGAUUAUGGCAGGAUUGUAGCCACCAUUGAAACAAGAUUAAUCUAGCUUUCAUUGGAGAUCAAUUUGUAAUGAGAAAAGAUAAAAGGAAAGAAAAAAAUGCAACAAGAAAGGCAAAUGUGCGGAGGCGGUUUAAGUUCCUACUUCUAGUUGGUCUGAAGACUGUUCAUGACACAAGCAUUACUAGAACAAGCCCAUCUUCAAGGGGAAGAUAAUUAUGCUUCACCUCCUGGAGGGAGAAAUAUCAAAAACUGGUAAACAUAUGUUUCAAAAAACCACCAUGGUAAUUAAUAAAUAGAAGAAGACACUUGUGGCAAUGUAAAUACCUAUUUUUCUUCCAUUUUCACCCACUAAUUGUAGUGUUCAUCAAUUCAUUUUGCCUGCAGAAAUUAUUGCUGUGCUGCUCUUCUCCAGUGUCUUUCUAUUUUUAUUACUUGUACUUCCAUUAAUUGGAAUGCUUCUUUAAGUAAGAAUUGUCUCAUUUCCCCAUUUAUUUAUUUACCUUAUCAUUUAUUUACAUCAGUAUAGACUUGUUGAUAUUUAAUGUUUGGAUUAUAAUCCAAUUCUAUCAUUUCAUUGUUCAAAUUGUUCCAGCUGUGGCCUAUGAGCGCUCCUUCAGGCCAGCUUCUGUAUCCUACUAUCUUUUAUUUUUUAGCGUUUUAUUACUUUCUGACAUUUCUGUUUUUAAUUAUAAAUGGCAAUAACAGCAACCACAGCCUGAUGAAGUCAUGGCAAAUAGGGGCUCGAAACCCUUAGUCACCCCACUCACCAAACCAUUUGGAGGGUAGUGCCUAUCUAGCAGAAGGGAAAUCUAGUAGCUGUGGUAGACUGAGGUGAUGCUACAAGAUUAACUGCUGACCCACCGGGAUCAGUUGGUUGCAUUUCUUGCUAUAAACACUUUUCUUAUAAAUGUUUCCAAAAAUUGUGAGCAAGUAAGAUGUCUGGAUGAAGUAAACUUAAUUAGAAAAGAAAGUGAAUCUGAGUCAUUCAAGGGGUGGUAUUUACGGAUGCUGAUGUUGCACCAUCCAGGCCCCUUCAUUGCUACCCUCAUUCCCCCCAGCUGAACUGAGUGUUGAUUACUAAUGGUGCAAAGAUGCCCUCUUGUCUGGAGGAUUCUCUCAGUUUAAUGCAAGCUUCCUCAUCCAGAGGUUAGAUAACUGCUCACCAGCCAGCAAACAUUGAUGGAAUGAUAUAGAGGUACAAACUAUUGACCCCUUGCUUCAAGUUGAGACCAAAUCAGCGGUCUAAUUUGUGUCCCAGAUUUCCCUGUGCAUCAAGGCUAAGGUAGAAUUCAAUUGAGAACACAGGCAUGCUUAUUUUUCUUCUCCUGCCUUUAUUCUGUUUCUCUCACUUAUCUUCUCUUAAGCACAUGCCUCAAUAAGGCACUUUAAUGAGAAUCCCUAACUGAAAUAUAAAUAACUGACCUAAAUAGAUAGGAAGAGUAGCAAUACCUGCUUAGUGAAUAUUCUGUUUUCAAUGUCUUAAGUAUUAAACAUAAUUCUGGUUAGGCCACCCCUAUUCAAAUCCACCCUUUGUCCUUUCUUCUUCUUCACCCAAUAUGUUCACCUAUUCUCUUUAUUUUACCUCCAUGGGUAUCUCAGUCCUUGUCACUUCUCUUCAUUCCUACCAUAAUUGAUUCACAUGUGUAACCUGGUAUACCAAAUGCCUCUGGUGUCUUCCUUCCUAUUCCACCUAAGCUUUACUCACAGAAUGAUUUCCUCCAUGAAAAUAAUCAUCAGAUAUUCUUACUAUGCUCUAUUACUCCAUUUUAUGCAUGGCCUUAGUGAGACCAAAUCAUUAAUUGAAUAGCUACCAAGAGCCAGUACAUUUCCAGAUGCUUUACCUAAAUUAUAACAUUUAAUUGGCAUAAAUCAUCGUUUUUAUCUGUAGGAAUCAGUACAAUUUCUGAAAAACACACAGGGAUGAAUGAAUGAAAAAGGGAAUAAAAUAAGGGAAAUGUUUUAUUUAUCUGAAGGAAAAGUCAUAAACGAAAUUGAUGAACAGAAAAGAAAUUCUGUCACCAUCAUGUUAAGUGCUUUCUUGUGCUGGCAUAGAGAGUUUAGGCCAAUGGUUUCAAAGUGUGGUGCAGGGACCCCAGCAUUGCCCUGACAGCUAAUGAAAUGUGCGAAGCAAUGAUGGGGGUCCCAUACUCCUGUGAAGCCAGACAUUAACAUUAUUUGAAAACAAGUAAAGCAAUGUUCCUCUUCUCAAUAAAUAUUUUUUAUUUUGAAAAUAAAAUCCUUUUUAUGAAAAUGUUGUAUUUAUGUUCGUUUGUAAUUUUUCCUUCUAAAAUAAAUAAAUAAUAUACAUAUAUUUAAUUGCUCAGUAUUAAUUUUAAUCAACAAAAGCUUUUCUGGAUCAUCAAUAAAUUGGAAGACCACAGAAUAGGCUUGGAGACCGAAAAGUUAAAAACUACUGGUUUAGGUCAAUUGCUCGAUUUUAAUUAUGUAUUAAUGGUGAAGGGGAGAAUAGCAGUUUUAUUCUUAGCAUAAUAUUUUCCAUAUUAAAACUAUAUCCCAUGAUA
rnacentral:lncRNA from 1 species